rnacentral:rRNA from 1 species
CCUACGGGUGGCAGCAGUGGGGAAUAUUGCACAAUGGGGGAAACCCUGAUGCAGCGACGCCGCGUGAGUGAAGAAGUAUUUCGGUAUGUAAAGCUCUGUCAGCAGGGAAGAAAAUGACGGUACCUGACCAAGAAGCCCCGGCUAACUACGUGCCAGCAGCCGCGGUAAUACGUAGGGGGCGAGCGUUAUCCGGAUUUACUGGGUUUAAAGGGAGCGUAGACGGUAGGGGAAGUCUGGCGUGAAAGGCUGCGGCUCAACCCGAGGACUGCUGUGGAAACUGCCGGGCUGGAGUGCAGGAGAGGUACGUGGAAUUCGUAGUGUAGCGGUGAAAUGCGUAGAUAUUAGGAGGAACACCGGUUGCGAAGGCAGCUUACGGGACUGUGACUGACGUUGAGGCUCGAAAGCGUGGGUAGCAAACAGGAUUAGAUACCCUGGUAGUC